GUUAAAAAAAAAUUAUACAAACUCCUCGUGAAUAUUCAGUUUCAUAAAAACAAAAGUAUAAUUCAAUACAUUCUUCCCCUUCCCCUUCUCAUAAGAAGAAACUAGCUGUACCACUUGCAUCUACUUACGUAAACUAUUCUAAUGUGAAGAAGUAAGCGAAUUCUGGUGGAAGAGAUUCAAGGACUGGCUGCAUGAAAAUCUGAAAAGAAUCCUCCUCAGAUAUACGAGUAUACAGGUUUCCAGAUACUAUAUAAAUAUCGAACGGGAAGGAAAAAGAUAAACUCUUGUCCGUUCACAGUUCACAGAACCCGUCAUCGUCCCGGCCAGAACUUUAACGAUCGAGGCUGACCCGAGCUAUGGACAAAAGGGAAUAGAGGCUGUUUUACAUAGUAAAGACCAAGGAAGACUGCCAUCGCCAACCGGAUAUUCUUAAAGAGGAUAUUCACUUCUAAAGUGAGGAGGAGGUUAUUUCGCGAAAUGCGGACAAGAUGUUCCAGUUUCUCGCAUUAUUUUCCUUCUCCCUUCGAAACUUUUACAUUUGUUAUAAUCGAAAUUGUUUCCAACGAUCCAACUUAUUUCCGUGUAUUUAUAAUCGAACAGGAAAUAUCUAAAUUUCGUUGAUUUAAAUAUUACUGUAAGUAUCUAUUAAUUGUUUUUUAUUGCAAAGAUUAAAAUGAGUAUCUUUUCAGAGGUUCCAAAAAAAAAAAAAAAGAAAAAAAAUCCAUGGAGUUUCGAUAAAAAGGAAAGAGAGACGAAUAGUUUUCCUAUUAAUUUCUAUUUUAAGGAUGUGUCAUAUUAAAAAUCACUGAGCAUCAUCUGUGAAACAGGCCGUGAUUCUUCUCAUCAAUAUUGAAAUAUAUAAAUGACUUUAUUGAAAGCGUGAAUACAUCAAAGUUGAUGAAAGGCAAAGGAAAUCAGUAACCGUAUUCAAGAGUUUGGAACGAAGAAGAAGGUGGAUGUAAGCUGUAGCAUGGCCUUAGCAGAAUGGCGAAGGAGUAACGAAGGGGAGUAAAUUGCACCCCUGGGGAACAGAUCUGACGAGUGGCACGAAGGGCAACGAUAAGCCAGAAGUCAACCGAUUUUAAUUAAGACGCAGUUUCAGGCAAAAGGAUCCUUUCAUAGUGUGAUAGAAAAACAAAUAGAACAAAAUAUAUU